rnacentral:rRNA from 1 species
UACGAAGGGGGCUAGCGUUGCUCGGAAUUACUGGGCGUAAAGCGCACGUAGGCGGCUUUCUAAGUCGGGGGUGAAAUCCUGGAGCUCAACUCCAGAACUGCCUUCGAUACUGGAGAGCUCGAGUCCGGGAGAGGUGAGUGGAACUGCGAGUGUAGAGGUGAAAUUCGUAGAUAUUCGCAAGAACACCAGUGGCGAAGGCGGCUCACUGGCCCGGUACUGACGCUGAUGUGCGAAAGCGUGGGAGCAAACAGG